CUAAGAAUCUUCCGCAAUGGGGGAAACCCUGACGGAGCGACGCCGCGUGGAUGAUGAAGGCCGUAAGGUUGUAAAAUCCUUUUCCUGGUGAAGAAUAAGCGGGGGAGUGGAAAGCCCCCGUGAUGACGUUAACCAGGGAAUAAGCCCCGGCCAAUUACGUGCCAGCAGCCGCGGUAAUACGUAUGGGGCAAGCGUUGUUCGGAGUUAUUGGGCGUAAAGGGCGUGUAGGCGGCCCGUCAAGUCUGGUGUGAAAUCGCAGGGCUCAACCCUGCGUAUGCGCUGGAAACUGACAGGCUGGAGUCCUGAGGGGGAAACUGGAAUUCCUGGUGUAGGAGUGAAAUCUGUAGAUAUCAGGAAGAACACCGGUGGCGAAGGCGAGUUUCUACUCAUGGACUGACGCUGAGGCGCGAAAGCGUGGGGAGCAAACAGG
rnacentral:rRNA from 1 species